UGGGGAAUAUUGCACAAUGGGCGAAAGCCUGAUGCAGCAACGCCGCGUGAGCGAUGAAGGCCUUCGGGUCGUAAAGCUCUGUCCUCAAGGAAGAUAAUGACGGUACUUGAGGAGGAAGCCCCGGCCAACUACGUGCCAGCAGCCGCGGUAAUACGUAGGGGGCUAGCGUUAUCCGGAAUUACUGGGCGUAAAGGGUGCGUAGGUGGUUUCUUAAGUCAGAGGUGAAAGGCUACGGCUCAACCGUAGUAAGCCUUUGAAACUGGGAAACUUGAGUGCAGGAGAGGAGAGUGGAAUUCCUAGUGUAGCGGUGAAAUGCGUAGAUAUUAGGAGGAACACCAGUUGCGAAGGCGGCUCUCUGGACUGUAACUGACACUGAGGCACGAAAGCGUGGGGAGCAAACAGG
rnacentral:rRNA from 1 species